rnacentral:Y_RNA from 1 species
GGCUGGUUAAAUACAGUGGUGUUUAUAACUAAUUGAUCACAACCAGUUACAGAUUUCUUUGUUGCUUCUCUACUCUCAUUGCUUCAUUUCGCCACCUUUAA